AGAUUGAACGCUGGCGGCACGCCUAACACAUGCAAGUCGAGCGGUAGCAUGGUUAGUAGCAAUACUAACUGAUGACGAGCGGCGGACGGGUGAGGAAUACGUAGGAACCUGCCCUCAAGCGGGGGAUAACUAAGGGAAACUUUAGCUAAUACCGCAUAAUCUCGAGAGAGAAAAGCUGCCCGCAAGGGUGGCACUUGAGGAGGGGCCUGCGUCCGAUUAGCUAGUUGGUAGGGUAAAAGCCUACCAAGGCGAUGAUCGGUAACUGGUCUGAGAGGACGGCCAGUCACACUGGGACUGAGACACGGCCCAGACUCCUACGGGAGGCAGCAGUGGGGAAUAUUGGACAAUGGGGGCAACCCUGAUCCAGCGAUGCCGCGUGAGUGAAGAAGGCCUUGGGUCGUAAAGCUCUUUAGGUUGGGAAGAAGGGUACGAGUAUGAAUAAGAUCGUAUUUGACGGUACCGACAGAAUAAGCACGGCAAACUCUGUGCCAGCAGCCGCGGUAA
rnacentral:rRNA from 1 species